rnacentral:rRNA from 1 species
UACGUAGGGUGCGAGCGUUAAUCGGAAUUACUGGGCGUAAAGGGCGCGUAGGCGGUCCUGUAAGUCUUGUGUGAAAUCCCUCGGCUUAACUGAGGAACUGCACGAGAUACUGCGAGACUUGAGUUCGGGAGAGGAAAGCGGAAUUCCGGGUGUAGCGGUGAAAUGCGUAGAUAUCCGGAGGAACACCGGUGGCGAAGGCGGCUUUCUGGACCGACACUGACGCUGAGGCGCGAAAGCUAGGGGAGCAAACGGG